rnacentral:rRNA from 1 species
AACGAACGCUGGCGGCAGGCUUAACACAUGCAAGUCGAACGCCCCGCCAGGGGAGUGGCAGACGGGUGAGUAACGCGUGGGAACAUACCCUUUUCUACGGAAUAGCCCUGGGAAACUGGAAUUAAUACCGUAUACGCCCUACGGGGGAAAGAUUUAUCGGGGAAGGAUUGGCCCGCGUUGGAUUAGCUAGUUGGUGGGGUAAAGGCCUACCAAGGCGACGAUCCAUAGCUGGUCUGAGAGGAUGAUCAGCCACAUUGGGACUGAGACACGGCCCAAACUCCUACGGGAGGCAGCAGUGGGGAAUAUUGGACAAUGGGCGCAAGCCUGAUCCAGCCAUGCCGCGUGAGUGAUGAAGGCCUUAGGGUUGUAAAGCUCUUUCACCGAUGAAGAUAAUGACGGUAGUCGGAGAAGAAGCCCCGGCUAACUUCGUG